AAGACUCCACUCUUGCACUGCAGGGGAAACAGGUUCGAUCCCUGCUCGGGGAGCUAAGAUCCCACAUGCCUCGUGGCCAAAAAACCAAAACAUAAAACAGAAGCAAUAUUGUAACGAAUUCAAUAAAGACUUUAAUAAUGGUCCACAUCAAAAAAAAAAAUUUUUUUUUUAAAAAAAAGAAACUUCUGACAACUUUAAUUGUUCUCCUCCCUGCCUCCCCUCGCUCUCACCAGCCUUGAAACCCUGCCUCCCCAGGCCCUGCCCUGGCCAUAUUUCUCUCCUUAACCCUCCUCACUCCCUGCCCAGCUGUUUAACUCCCUCCCCUCCCCCACCCUGCAAAGGUGAGGUCCAUGGGGGCUGAGAUGGGUUUAUUCACCACCCUCAUCCCAGCACUGGGUACACAGCUAGCGUUCAAUAAAUAUUUGUCCCACACUCCUUGUGGCCCCUUUCCAACCCUAACCCAGGCAUUCCUUGGCAGGCAUCCUCCCCCACUCCUCCUGCCAAGGUCGCCUGUACCUCUGUGUAGCUGCAUCAAGAACCUGCUGCCUAGGGAAUGGCUAACUUUGGCUUGUGUCAGAAUCCACCAGGGAGGCCAAAGACCCAGAAAUUCUGAUUCAGGAGGCCUGGGGUCCCAGAAUCAACAUUUAAAGAGCUUUCAAGGGACAUUGGUGGUGGUGAUGAUGAUGAUGGUGAUGAAGGUAAUGAUGAUAAUGAUGGGGGGAUGAUGGCAAUGAUGGUGAAGACGGUAAUGAUGGUGGUAAAUGAUGAUGAUGAUGAUGGUGAUGAAGGUAAUGAUGAUAAUGAUGGGGGGAUGAUGGCAAUGAUGGUGAAGACGGUAAUGAUGGUGGUAAAUGAUAAUGAUGAUGAUGAUGAUGAUGGCAGUCAUGGUGGUGAUGGGAAUGAUGGUGAUGAUGGCGAUGAUGGUGAUGAUGGUGGUAAUGGCAAUGAUGGUGAAGAUGGUCAUGAUGAUGGUGGUAAAUAAUGAUGAUGAUAAUGGUGAUGGCAGUGAUGGUGGUGAUGGUUACAAUGAUGAUGACGGCAAUGAUGGUGAAGAUGGUAAUGAUGAUGGUUUAAUAAUGAUGACAAUGAUGCUGAUGGCAGUCAUGGUGGUGAUGAUUAUAAUGAUGAGGGUGGUGAUGGCAGUGAUGAUGAUGAUGGUAAUGAUGGUGAUGAUGGUGAUGGUGAUGAUGGUUAUGAUGAUGAUGAUGGUGAUGACGGCAAUGAUGGUGAAGAUGGUUAUGAUGAUGUUAAUGAUGAUGAUGGUGGUGAUGGGAAUGAUGGUGAUGAUGAUGAUGGUGGUGAUGGCUAUAAUGAUGACGAUGGUUAUAAUGGCAGCAACCUACACAUGUUGACAAAUUUCUUUACAACAGGCACUGGGAUAGAGGCAGGAAGAAGCAGACAAAAGUCUCUGCCCUCUGAAAAACCAAAUGCAAUCAGCAGACUUUGGAGCUUGGUGUGAACAAACCAACUGUAAUAAGACAUUUGGGAACAACUAGGAUCUUAGUUCCCAGACCAGGGAUUGAACCCAGGCCCUUGGCAGUGAAUGCAUGAAGUCCUAACCACUGGACCACCAGGGAAGACCCCCAAGUGUAUUUUUAAGUUAAAACAAUAUUUGGCUCUCCCUUGCCUCUUAGAUGGGGGGAUAACUCUGAGGUGGAUAUUUCUCGCUGCUCCCAGAGUGCCCCCAGGGGAUGGUGCCCCACCUGGUGGUAACUUGCUUGGUGACGCCCUUCAUCAGCUGCCUGGCAACUACUCCCCAGGCUGAAGGCAGCGAUUCCUGGGAUCGCCUUCCAUCCAUCCUGCCCUUCAAUCCCCACCUGGACUCUGCUUCUGGGGGAACCCCAACUAACACAGGUGUGGCAAUGGUACUGUGAUAAGAAUUGUAAUAAUCUGAAUAAGAAAGUCUCUAGAUUAGCUAAGAUCAUGAUAUCAAUGUUAAUGUUACUAUGAUUGUGUAAGAGAAUGUUCUAGUUUUUAGGAAAUACCCUCCAAAGCACUGAAGGGUAAAUAGACAUCAUGCUUGCAACUUACUCUCAAAUAGAGAGAUAGAAGAAUAAAGCAAAUGUGGUAAAAUGUUAACAACGGGGAGUCUGCAUAUACAGGACUUCUCUGUAUUAUCCGGGCAAUAUUUUGUAAGUCUUAAAUUAUGUCAAAAUAAAAAUAAAUAAACGU